GACACUCCACUAGUCAGGGAAAUGAGGUGGAACCAGCAAAGAAGACAGAAACAACAGCCACAGAGCUAAAAAGGAGAAGCAAGUGAGUCUCCAAAACUAAGUGAAAAAGAUGUGUUUUGAAGAAAAGGGAGUGAGCAACUGUGUUGAGUGCUGAAGACAGGUCAAGUAUAAAGAGGGCUGAGAUUGGACCACUGGAUUUGGCAGCAUGGAGGUACCUGAUGCCACCAAUUCCUGAGUUUUUCUGCUGUUCAGUGGAGUGGACUAUCGCCUUCAAAUUAGCCUGGCCCUGGGCAGGAAGAGAGAGUACCUGGAUCACCAUGGCAAAAUCGGAGAAGGCGUCACAGAAGAGGAAGAUACGUAUGCGCUUCUUAAUGUGGCAUCAUCUCUAACAAAAUACUUGCAUAAUGCACAUACAUCAGCCACAGUGCCUGGGUCAGCCUCCACGGUAUCUUCAGGGAAAUGAAGACCCUGAAUCAGCCCAUCAGAAGCAGGAGAUCCCUUUCGUCGACCUUCUCAUUCCAUCUCUAUGCUGGAGCAUUCUUGUGACCUAACCAUAUUGAAACUGCCUUUGCAAAAUAUGACUGAGACAGUGAAAGAGGUAUAACUUCACCAAUUCCAUCUUGGUUCUAACCUCCAAGCUCUCCUUGAUCAUUCCUAGGCAUAGGCUGAACUAACUUUGGGAGAAACUUAGUUUAUAGUUUACAAUUUAAAACAGACAUGGUAACAGCCCUUUCCUAAAGCAGGCCUCCUUCUUGCCUGGGAACUAGAUUGCCUCCGUAGGACUAACAUUAGCCACAAGAUUAGAAAUUAUGGUUUAGGAGUCACGCAACUGGAGGCUAUAAGAUUCUGACCCUCCCUAAACUGCUCC
rnacentral:lncRNA from 1 species